rnacentral:misc_RNA from 1 species
ACAAGAAAUUCCCUUGCACCUCCCUUUAUAAUUUGCUAUGCUCUUCCUAGGGCUACAAUCAAAGACAUUAAUGACAAGAAUGUGGAUCUUGAUGCCAAUAACAUGUUUCUUUGCAUAUCAACAAUAAAGGAGCUAUCAUUCAUAAAAGCAUUGACCUUGUUAAUGCCUCACAACGAACUAGGGUUAAGGUUGUUAUUAUAGGAAGCAGAGAUAAUGGUAUUAUUAUUUUCGAGGAUGGUCGAGUAUGCUUCGAUAGAGAUGGUGGCAAAGAAAGGGGGGAGAGAAACAAUAAGGGAGAGCAUAAAGGUCAUGGUUUCCACUAUGGUUAAUUAAAUGGGUAAGUUCUUGUUAUGCACCACAAAAGGGUGUGACCUAUAAAGAAAUAAAGAGAACACACAAAAUAACAAUAUUUACAUGGUUCACCCUUUUCACAUAGGGUUAUGUUUAUGAGCUUAUUGUCUUUUACUAUCAAUAAUAAAUUAUCAAUUGCAAGUUCAAAGCUACACAAGAUAGACAUAGAAAACA